rnacentral:tRNA from 1 species
GGAUCCGUAGCUCAACGGUAGAGCGGCUGUCUUAUACACAGUAUGUUGGAGGUCCGAAUCCUCCCGGAUCCACCA